UCGGAUCACACAUCUGACUGUCUGCUGAAAUCUCGCCAUCGCUUUUUUAUUUCUAUAUAUAUUCCAUCUCUGCCCCCAUAGUCUUCUCGAUUACCGAACAUUUUGCCUUCUUUUCUGAUUAUCUGGAUCUUCCAGAUGGUUGAAGAAUCUCAAAUUUCGGUUUUUCCAUUAUGAUUGCAAAUUGUUGGUCUGAUUCAGAGGGUCAACCACUUCAUGUAGACAAAUUGUUUUCCCACAAGAAUGUUAAGUCGCUUUUUUCUGUUUAUUUCUCCUCAUUGAUUUCUUGAUUUCUGUCCUCACUUUCAUAGAUGUUUUAUUUUUGGAUUUGGUGAAUAUCAUGGCAUUUUCAUGGACAUGAAGUAUGACUUUGAUGGUGAACUGAUAUUAAUCUUUAAUGGCAUAGACUCCCACAAAUCUUUCGUUUAACUGGUAACUCAUUAAUUUUCUCAUUCCUCCUUUCUCUUGUUGUUGGUUAUUGGACUAUUUAAGGAAAUUGUCAUUGGUAUAAUUUUGAGAUACUAUAUAUUCUUCAGAAUACAAUGACUAGAUCCCUGAAUCUAAUUAUAUAAUAGCUUCAUUUGUCCACACAAUCUAUAAACACCAACAAGGGGAAGAAGAAAGUUAAUCCGUUACCAGCGAAACUCAACGAUUUGUGUGUCUAUGUCAUUGAGAUACCAUACUAAAGGGUUAACUUUUGGUUCACCACCAAAGUCCCAAUUCCUGUUCAUUAAAAUGCCAUGAUAUACAUCAAAUCCAAAAAUAAAACAACUAUAAAAUAUAGGAUAGAAAACAAGAAACCAAACAUGAGAAAUAAACUGAAAAAUGUUGUUGAACUUUAUUUUCUUGUUGGAAAAUGAUUUGUCCACAAGAUGUGGUUGACUCUGGAAUACAUUUGAAUCCAGCAAAAAAGCAGCAUUUUCCUUGGUUCAGUUUAACUCCUUCCUGCGAUCAUUGUGCUAUAAAGCUUCCUUUUAAAUUUAAUCUUAUAGCUAAUAGUAUCUUCACUAUCUUAUCUUUGAACCUUUCUGUUUGGUUCAGUUUAAUUAACUCCUUCCGUGAUUAUUGAUUAUUGAGCUUUAAAGCUUCCCUUUAAAUUUAAAUGUAUAGCUAGUACUAUCUUUACUAUCUUAUCUUUAUAUUUUGUUGUCUUUGACUCUCUAGGAACAGAAAGAACAUUCUGCAACUACUAGUGGAACCAUACGUAAGUACAUCUGCAUUUUCAGUAUAACGAUUGUUUAUAUAAUGUCUGUUCAGUAGGAUAUAAAUUAUUGACAAUCUUUUUUCUGGUAUUUGUAAUUGCAUAUACUGAUUAACAAGUUAUUCUUAUAUGGAUAGGAAUUUUCAUCCAUAUGUGUCUGUUCUCAUGAAGUAUAUCGUGUUGCAAGUUAAGCAUGUUUGCCAACAGGAGGUAUGUUCUUUUUUCUAUGAUUCAGUUAACUAGAUAUAACUAUUGAUUUUGUUCAUCAAAGAAGUGUCGUUCUUUUCUCGUGAUCUCCACUGAGUUGAUUUUAGUUAGAGAUUUUUAAACAUAUAUAAUGUAGUAAAUGUAAACCCCUUUUGAAGUGAUGAGAGGAAAAAAUCCAUUGAAACAUGGAGCUUUCAGUGCAUGAUGCAGAAAUUGGUAUACUAAACACUAUUGCAUAGGCAGACGGAUAUUGUCCCCAUGUAAAUUUAAUAAAUAAAAAGCAUUAAACUGUUAAGAGAGUAUGUCUUGCUUUUCUUAAUUGUUCUUGCAUUAACAUUAAACCAUGCAACCUUUAACUACAUACCGCAACGUGAGUUUUGGUUGACUAAAAAAACAACAGUUUUGGUUAGACUUUGCCAAUAGAACAAGUACAUCUAAUGGCCAUGCGUAUGUAUUUGUUCUUUGUUUUGUGAUUUUGUUUUACAAAAAUAUUUCCUUUAAUGACUUAUAUUUUUAAUAAUCUGAACAGGUUGGUAUAUUCAUGAAUGGGAAUCUUCUUGCCCCAGAAAUGAANUGGAGCUUUCAGUGCAUGAUGCAGAAAUUGGUAUACUAAACACUAUUGCAUAGGCAGACGGAUAUUGUCCCCAUGUAAAUUUAAUAACUAAAAAGCAUUAAACUGUUAAGAGAGUAUGUCUUGCUUUUCUUAAUUGUUCUUGCAUUAACAUUAAACCAUGCAACCUUUAACUACAUACCGCAACGUGAGUUUUGCUUGACUAAAAAAACAACAGUUUUGGUUAGACUUUGCCAAUAGAACAAGUACAUCUAAUGGCCAUGCGUAUGUAUUUGUUCUUUGUUUUGUGAUUUUGUUUUACAAAAAUAUUUCCUUUAAUGACUUAUAUUUUUAAUAAUCUGAUCAGGUUGGUAUAUUCAUGAAUGGUAAUCUUCUUGCCCCAGAAAUGAAGCUCCUUGAUGUGGUGAAGCAAUGGAUGGCUAUUGUUGCUUCAGAGAGAAAAAUAACCAAAGGAUGUUCUUCCGAGAACUUCUGUGUGAUGCUCACUUUUGCUCGAAGAGAGUAGACAAGCAGUGGACAACUAUUUUUGGAAUCACCAGGAAAACAUGGCAAUUGAAAUUUGUUUCUAAUGCUUCAUAAGGGUUUUGAAAAAGGCUACAUAUUUAUCAUUAUAUGAUUGAUCUUGAUCUUUUUUCCAUGAGAUUAUUGAUUUUUCUGGCAAUUUCACAUUCAUACAUUAUUAGGAAAUCAGUUUUCAUCCUGGUUGCCGCCCGCGGUAAAAAAUAACCAUUAUUGAUGAAUGGUCACAAUAUGUUUGUACAAAUUUAGUGAUGAAUUCGCAAAAACUAUAUAACGUGCUGUAAUUACUUUUUUUGAAAUCAGCGACAAAUUUGAUACAAAAUAGCUAUGAAUUUACCCAUGUUGCUCAUCAAUUGAAAUAGUUUUCCAUACUCUAUCACUGACUGUCACUAUAUGUCUGUUGUUGAUCCAUCAUGAAGUUUCCGUUAAUAGUUCAUCGUAAAGUUUCCAUUACAAACUCUAUCCUGAUCUCAUAUCUAU
rnacentral:lncRNA from 1 species